UCUCUAAACAUUUGCAAGGUCACUUUAAGUUGUCCUUUAACUGUCUGCAGGUGGAGGAGAGAGCAGGUCACCAGCUCCUCCACAGAAGCUCUUUUUCUUGAUCUCUGGGCAGAAUUCACCUUCUUUCUAUUGGACUAUGAUUGAGGGUAACGAAGAAUUUGUUUAACAAAAGCCAUAUUCCAGGCCAAGUUUCUCACAAAAGUAGGAGAAAGGCAGGCGCUAGCCUGGUCAUAUCUGAACCAGACCGUCAUUUUGAACAAUGUCAUGAAGGGGAUAAAAGAAGGAGCAGGGGCACAAGGAGCUCAGCUUCCUCUGCCCCAGUUGGUUUUCCAACUGUCUUCUCCAGCGUUCUCAGCACGGGUGUCAGCCCAGCCCUACUCAUAGAAGGAGCUACUGGAAAAACCCACCCCUACCCUCA
rnacentral:lncRNA from 1 species